CCCAAGAGCCAUAACACCCGAAUAUUCCCAGUCCCAUCUGAUCUUGGGAGCUAAACAGGGUUGUGCUUGGUUAGUACUUGAAUGGGAGGCUAAUGUAGCUAGAAAGGGCAAGGGA
rnacentral:rRNA from 1 species